AGGCCUCGGUGCACUCUUUAGCGCACAUCACUGAGCUUGCAACUCAACAUGAACUUCACUACAAGGCC
rnacentral:tRNA from 1 species